AUGGCGCUGCUCGCGACACAUCCUGGCGUUGGGCGGCCGCGCCGGCUGCUUUCGAAAAGCGCCGCACUCCGCGAUUCUGGUCAGGCCUCUAGUCUCUGUCUGCCGCUCAGGCCCGCAAUGGAGAUUACAUCAGCUCGGCGCCUCGGGAACCGCUCGAAUCUGCCAGAUCCCAGAGUCAUUAAGAAAUACUGCAUGGCAGAGAGUGAGAAAAUGCAAUUCAAGACAAUUAUUAGAUGCUACAAAGGCUCUCCAGGCAUGGCCACUGGGAGAAAAGAGGACAUGUUGGCAUGGUCACGCAGGAGGAGGGCUCCACACAGACCCGAAAGAAGGGUUAAAAGAUGUUGAUACUCGGAAAAUCAUAAAAGCAAUGCUUUCUUAUGUGUGGCCCAAAGACAGGCCAGAUCUAAGAGCAAGAGUUGCCAUUUCCUUGGGAUUUUUGGGUGGUGCAAAGGCCAUGAAUAUUGUGGUCCCCUUCAUGUUUAAAUAUGCUGUAGACAGCCUCAACCAGAUGUCGGGAAACAUGCUGAACCUGAGUGAUGCACCAGAUACAGUUGCAACCAUGGCAACAGCAGUUCUGAUUGGCUAUGGUGUAUCAAGAGCUGGAGCUGCCUUUUUUAACGAAGUUCGAAAUGCAGUAUUUGGCAAGGUAGCCCAAAAUUCAAUCCGAAGAAUAGCCAAAAAUGUCUUUCUCCAUCUUCACAACCUGGAUCUGGGUUUCCACCUGAGCAGACAGACAGGAGCUUUAUCUAAAGCUAUUGACAGAGGAACAAGGGGUAUCAGUUUUGUCCUGAGUGCUUUGGUAUUUAAUCUUCUUCCCAUCAUGUUUGAGGUGAUGCUUGUCAGCAGUGUUUUGUAUUACAAAUGUGGUGCCCAGUUUGCUUUGGUAGCCCUCACAGCCCUUGGUGCAUACACAGCCUUUACAAUUGCAGUCACACGGUGGAGAACUAGAUUUAGAAUAGAGAUGAACAAAGCGGAUAAUGAUGCAGGUAAUGCUGAUAUAGACUCACUGCUGAAUCAUGAAACUGUGAAGUAUUUUAAUAAUGAAAAAUAUGAAGCACAGAGAUAUGAUGGAUUUUUGAAGACAUAUGAGACUGCUUCAUUGAAAAGUACCUCCACUCUGGCUAUGCUGAACUUUGGUCAAAAUGCUAUUUUCAGUGUCGGUUUAACGGCUAUAAUGGUGCUUGCCAGUCAGGGAACUGUGGCAGGUACCCUUACCGUUGGAGAUCUAGUAAUGGUGAAUGGACUGCUUUUUCAGCUUUCAUUACCCCUUAACUUUCUGGGAACUGUAUAUAGAGAGACUAGACAAGCACUAAUAGAUAUGAACACCUUAUUCACUCUACUCAAGGUAGACCCCCGAAUUAAAGACAAAGUAAUGCCACCUUCCCUUCAGAUCACACCACAGACAGCUACGGUGGCCUUUGAUAAUGUGCAUUUUGAGUACAUUGAGGGGCAGAAAGUUCUUAGUGGAAUAUCAUUUGAAGUCCCUGCAGGAAAGAAAGUGGCCAUUGUAGGAGGUAGUGGGUCAGGGAAAAGCACAAUAGUAAGGCUGAUGUUUCGCUUCUAUGAGCCUCAAAAAGGUAGCAUUUACCUUGCUGGUCAAAAUAUACAAGAUGUGAGCCUGGAAAGCCUUCGGAGGGCAGUGGGAGUGGUACCUCAGGAUGCUGUCCUCUUCCAUAAUACUAUUUACUACAACCUCUUAUAUGGAAACAUCAGUGCUUCACUGAGGAAGUAUAUGCAGUGGCAAAAUUAGCUGGACUUCAUGAUGCAAUUCUUCGAAUGCCACGUGGAUAUGACACCCAAGUUGGUGAACGAGGACUCAAGCUUUCAGGAGGAGAAAAACAAAGAGUAGCAAUUGCAAGAGCUAUUUUGAAGGACCCUCCAGUCAUACUCUAUGAUGAAGACACUUCAUCAUUAGAUUCAAUUACUGAAGAGACCAUUCUUAGUGCCACGAGGGAUGUGGUCAAAUACAGAACUUUUAUUUUCAUUGCACACAGAUUGUCAACAGUGGUUGAUGCAUAUGAAAUCAUUGUCUUGGACCAGGGUAAGGUAGCUGAACGUGGUACCCACCAUGGCUUGCUUGCUAACCCUGGCAGUAUCUAUUCAGAAAUGUGGCAUACACAGGGUAGCCAUGUGCAGAACCAUGAUAACCCCAAAUGGGUUGCAAAGAAAGAAAAUAUGUCCAAAGAGGAGGAAAGAAAGAAACUACAAGAAGAAAUUAUCAACAGUGUGAAAGGCUGUGGAAACUGUUCCUGCUAAGUCACAUGAGAUGUUUUUUGUUUUUUUUUCCUUUUCUUUUUUGUUUUGGACUAUACAUUUGCACUGAAGCAUAAUUGUUUAUUAAAAAAAAUCAUACAUUCCCAUUUUCUACAAUCCUUCUUUUAGAUGAGAUUUACUUAAGAGGGGAUUUGAGUUUUACAUCUUUCAUAAGCUAUUUAAUGUGGUCUCUGUAUUUAUCCCCAGAUUA